GGCUCAUCGGAUCAAACUCCGUCCAAGUCCUCCAAGAAAAAGGCUAGCAAAGAAUCAUCUGUGACUGAAGCUGUCGAAGUUGAGCAUGCUGGCUCAUCGGAUCAAGCUCUGUCCAAGUCCUCCAAGAAAAAGGCUAGCAAAGAAUCAUCUGUGACUGAGGCUGUCGAAGUUGAGCAUGCUGGCUCAUCGGAUCAAGCUCCGUCCAA